rnacentral:lncRNA from 1 species
AAGAUAAUUACAUUACCUUCGAGUUUGUCGCCGGAACCACGCCAAAAUCUCUCCGUGUAGGUAGUCUUGAGUUUCUUCUUUCCCUUUUAAUUUCGUCUUGAUAUAGAGCUCUUCUCGUUGAUCCUUUUUCCUUUGGUAAUUUCUUGAGACUCCGUAGAUCUUGGGUUUAAUUUCGUUUUGUGCGAAUUGGGUUUUCUGUUUUAGGGUUUCCGAUUUGGGUUUGUGGUUGGGAUUUUGUUGUUUUUGUGGCCGGAUCCGCAACCGCGAGCGUGAAUAAAGGGGAGUUGGUAUUUGAGAUUUAGGUUUUGAGAUGUUUUAGGGUUUCCGAUUUGGGUUUGUGGUUGGGAUUUUGUUGUUUUUGUGGCCGGAUCCGCAACCGCGAGCGUGAAUAAAGGGGAGUUGGUAUUUGAGAUUUAGGUUUUGAGUGGUGGUUCGCCGAAGAAGAAGGUGGCGCCGCCGCCGUUGGCCGGCAACCGCCAUCUUUUCCGGUAGGUUGAAGUCAGAGGUGUUUAGAAGUUUGCAGAGCUUGUGUUUGCUCUGAGAGGAAGAGAGAGAGAGUUGUUUUUUGACAAAUGAAGCGCUUAAGCGCUUUUCUGCUGGCUUUAGGCGAAAAGGGCUCCCUCAUAUGGAGAAACUUGUUUUCCAGCGGUGGGCCUCCAGUCCAGGCCCAAUUGAGCUUUUAUUUAUUUUAGCACCCCAUUUUCGGAUGGGUGACCCCUGUUCAUUUUAUUUUAUUUUUAUUUUAUUUUAUUAUUAUUUGUUGUAUAUUUCGAUUGGUUGGUUCUUUUUAGGCCCAUACUGAUUU